rnacentral:rRNA from 1 species
CCUACGGGAGGCAGCAGUAGGGAAUCUUCCGCAAUGGACGAAAGUCUGACGGAGCAACGCCGCGUGAGUGAUGAAGGUUUUCGGAUCGUAAAACUCUGUUGUUAGGGAAGAACAAGUUGGGUAGUAACUGACCUAACCUUGACGGUACCUAACCAGAAAGCCACGGCUAACUACGUGCCAGCAGCCGCGGUAAU